rnacentral:lncRNA from 1 species
UGACUACACAAGCUGUGAUGAAUUUGAUUUGACAACAGACAGCAACAAACACCUGUGUCGAGGAGGAAGUUUCAGAAUAUCUCAUCAAUGCUCAGAAGUUAAGUGACUUUUAAAAGAGUUAUAUGGAUGUUGAAAUAAGGAACUUUUUAUUUAAUAAUAGUUCACCUGUGGUGGAGGGACUAUGAGGUCAAGAGGACACUGAAAAAUUCUCCAGUGUGAAAUUCUGCAAAUUCAAUAGUAGCCUUAAUUCAGAGGAAGAUGAAAAUUCAAACUUGGAUGGGAAGACUUCACGUGACAGAGUGAAGAGAGGGGAGCACUUCCAGUUGGAGCUGUGGGGCAUCAGCCACUCUCCCACUUCCUGUGAAGCUCUGCAAACAGCUGUUGGAGAAGUCAGCCUAAUUUCGCAUGUCCGUGUUCAAGUUAUGUGGA